GUGUAAAGGGUGCGUAGGCGGCAAGGCAAGUCAGAUGUGAAAUGUAUGGGCUCAACCCAUGAACUGCAUUUGAAACUGUUUUGCUUGAGUGAAGUAGAGGCAGGCGGAAUUCCCUGUGUAGCGGUGAAAUGCGUAGAGAUAGGGAGGAACACCAGUGGCGAAGGCGGCCUGCUGGGCUUUAACUGACGCUGAGGCACGAAAGCGUGGGUAGCAAACAGGAUUAGAUACCCUGGUAGUCCACGCUGUAAACGAUGAUUACUAGGUGUGGGGGGUCUGACCCCUUCCGUGCCGCAGUUAACACAAUAAGUAAUCCACCUGGGGAGUACGGCCGCAAGGUUGAAACUCAAAGGAAUUGACGGGGGCCCGCACAAGCAGUGGAGUAUGUGGUUUAAUUCGAAGCAACGCGAAGAACCUUACCAGGUCUUGACAUCGAGUGACGAAUCUAGAGAUAGGUUUUUCCUUCGGGACACAAAGACAGGUGGUGCAUGGUUGUCGUCAGCUCGUGUCGUGAGAUGUUGGGUUAAGUCCCGCAACGAGCGCAACCCUUGCUAUUAGUUGCUACGCAAGAGCACUCUAAUAGGACUGCCGUUGACAAAACGGAGGAAGGUGGGGACGACGUCAAAUCAUCAUGCCCCUUAUGACCUGGGCUACACACGUACUACAAUGGCCGUCAACAGAGGGAAGCAAGAUAGUGAUAUGGAGCAAACCCCUAAAAACGGUCUCAGUUCAGAUUGCAGGCUGCAACCCGCCUGUAUGAAGAUGGAAUUGCUAGUAAUCGC
rnacentral:rRNA from 1 species